rnacentral:tRNA from 2 species
GCGGGUAUAGUUUAGUGGUAAAACCCUAGCCUUCCAAGCUACCGAUGCGGGUUCGAUUCCCGCUACCCGCC